rnacentral:rRNA from 1 species
AGUGAACGCUGGCGGUAGGCCUAACACAUGCGAGUCGAACGGCAGCACAGUAAGAGCUUGCUCUUACGGGUGGCGAGUGGCGGACGGGUGAGGAAUACAUCGGAAUCUACUUUUUCGUGGGGGAUAACGUAGGGAAACUUACGCUAAUACCGCAUACGACCUACGGGUGAAAGCAAGGGAUCUUCGGACCUUGCGCGAUUGAAUGAGCCGGUGUCGGAUUAGCUAGUUGGCGGGGUAAAGGCCCACCAAGGCGACGAUCCGUAGCUGGUCUGAGAGGAUGAUCAGCCACACUGGAACUGAGACACGGUCCAGACUCCUACGGGAGGCAGCAGUGGGGAAUAUUGGACAAUGGGCGCAAGCCUGAUCCAGCCAUACCGCGUGGGUGAAGAAGGCCUUCGGGUUGUAAAGCCCUUUUGUUGGGAAAGAAAAGCAGCAGGUUAAUACCCCGCUGUUCUGACGGUACCCAAAGAAUAAGCACCGGCUAACUUCGUG